AGCGAACGCUGGCGGCAGGCCUAACACAUGCAAGUCGAACGAGCUCUUCGGAGUUAGUGGCGGACGGGUGAGUAACACGUGGGAACGUGCCUUUUGGUUCGGAAUAACUCAGGGAAACUUGUGCUAAUACCGAAUGUGCCCUUCGGGGUAAAGAUUUAUCGCCAUUAGAGCGGCCCGCGUCUGAUUAGCUAGUUGGUGAGGUAACGGCUCACCAAGGCGACGAUCAGUAGCUGGUCUGAGAGGAUGACCAGCCACACUGGGACUGAGACACGGCCCAGACUCCUACGGGAGGCAGCAGUGGGGAAUCUUGCGCAAUGGGCGAAAACCUGACGCAGCCAUGCCGCGUGAAUGAUGAAGGUCUUAGGAUUGUAAAAUUCUUUCACCGGGGACGAUAAUGACGGUACCCGGAGAAGAAGCCCCGGCUAACUUCGUG
rnacentral:rRNA from 1 species